UACGAGGGGGGCAAGCGUUGUUCGGAAUUAUUGGGCGUAAAGGGCGCGUAGGCGGUUUGGCAAGUUUGGUGUGAAUCUUCGGGCUCAACUCGAAGUCUGCAUCGAAAACUGCCGGGCUUGAGUAUGGGAGAGGUGAGUGGAAUUUCCGGUGUAGCGGUGAAAAUGCGUAGAUAUCGGAAGGAACACCUGUGGCGAAAGCGGCUCACUGGACCAUAACUGACGCUGAGGCGCGAAAGCUAGGGGAGC
rnacentral:rRNA from 1 species